CAGAGGGGGCAAGCGUUGUUCGGAAUUACUGGGCGUAAAGGGCGCGUAGGCGGCCUGCUAAGUCGAACGUGAAAUCCCUGGGCUCAACCCAGGAACUGCGUCCGAUACCGGUUGGCUUGAAUCCGGGAGAGGGAUGCGGAAUUCCAGGUGUAGCGGUGAAAUGCGUAGAUAUCUGGAGGAACACCGGUGGCGAAGGCGGCAUCCUGGACCGGCAUUGACGCUGAGGCGCGAAAGCCAGGGGAGCAAACGGGAUUAGAUACCCCGGUAGUCCUGGCCCUAAACGAUGAAUGCUUGGUGUGGCGGGUAUCGAUCCCUGCCGUGCCGAAGCUAACGCAUUAAGCAUUCCGCCUGGGGAGUACGGUCGCAAGGCUG
rnacentral:rRNA from 1 species